AUGAACGUUGGCGGCGUGGAUUAGGCAUGCAAGUCGUACGCCCCGCGAGGGGCGUGGCGCAAGGGUGAGUAAGGCGACGGCAACCAACCCCGGGGCCGGGUAUAGCCGCCCGAAAGGGCGGGUAAUCCCCGGAGCCGUCGGGCCGCGGCCUCGCGGCGCGACGAAAGGUGCGAUUCCGCCCCGGGACGGGCCGUCGUGGUAUCAGCUAGUUGGCGGGGGUAACGGCCCACCAAGGCCCUGACGCCUACCGGGCGUGCGAGCGUGGCCCGGCACACUGGGACUGAGACACUGCCCAGACUCCUACGGGAGGCUGCAGUCGAGAAUCUUCGGCAAUGGGCGCAAGCCUGACCGAGCGACGCCGCGUGGGGGACGAAGGCCCUCGGGUUGUAAACCCCUGUCGAGGGGGAGGAAGGGCCGGCGAAGAGCCGGACUUGACCGAUCCCUGGAGGAAGCACGGGCUAAGUUCGUGCCAGCAGCCGCGGUAAGACGAACCGUGCGAACGUUAUUCGGAAUCACUGGGCUUAAAGCGCGUGUAGGCGGGUCGGCGCGUCGGUCGCUGAAAGCCCCCGGCUCAACCGGGGAAGGGGCGCCGAGACGGCCGGCCUGGAGGGGGGUAGGGGGAGCCGGAACUUCCGGUGGAGCGGUGAAAUGCGUUGAGAUCGGAAGGAACGCCCGUGGCGAAAGCGGGCUCCUGGGCCCCGCCUGACGCUGAGACGCGAAAGCUAGGGGAGCGAACGGGAUUAGAUACCCCGGUAGUCCUAGCCCUAAACCAUGGGCACCGGGUAGGGGGCUCGCCGAUGGGCUCCCUGCCGCAGCGAAAGCGUGAAGUGCCCCGCCUGGGGAGUAUGGUCGCAGGGCUGAAACUCAAAGGAAUUGACGGGGGCUCACACAAGCGGUGGAGCAUGUGGCUUAAUUCGAGGCUACGCGAAGAACCUUAUCCCGGGCUUGACAUGCACGGAUUAGCCGGCGGAAACGCCGGCGACGCGCAAGUGGAACGUGCACAGGUGCUGCAUGGCUGUCGUCAGCUCGUGCCGUGAGGUGUUGGGUUAAGUCCCGUAACGAGCGAAACCCCUGCCCCUAGUUGCCAGCGCGUCAUGGCGGGCACUCUAGGGGGACCGCCGGCGUCAAGCCGGAGGAAGGCGGGGACGACGUCAAGUCAUCAUGGCCCUUAUGCCCGGGGCUGCACACGUGCUACAAUGGGCCGGACAGAGCGCCGCCAGGCCGCGAGGCCGAGCCAAUCGCAAAAACCGGCCCCCAGUUCGGAUCGCGGGCUGCAACCCGCCCGCGUGAAGCCGGAAUCGCUAGUAAUCGCGGAUCAGCACUGCCGCGGUGAAUGGGUUCCUGAGCCUUGUACACACCGCCCGUCAAGCCACCAAAGCGGGGGGCACCCGAAGUCGCCGACGCCCUCACCGGCAGGCGCCGAAGGUGAAACCCGUGAUGGGGACU
rnacentral:rRNA from 1 species